rnacentral:lncRNA from 1 species
UUCUGAAAUGCAAUAAAGACAAGGCAAAAUGUUAUCUUUGAGCUACAACACUGGGCUUCCAGUGGUCACUGGGAGUGGACACACAUCCAAUGCCAAACAGGCUGAUAACAGACAGGAAGCUUCAUUAUAAUCAGAAAUGGCCUUCACUGCAGGAUUUUGAAGCUGUCCUGGCACCAAUUUGCACUGACAUCAGCUCACAGCAGGCGUAACAUGAAAUUUAUCAUCAUGGAAAUAUGACCCUUGGCUGAUUCUUGUAAAAAAAAAAAAGAAGAAGAAGAAAGAAAAAAAGAUCUUCCAUAAAGGCAAUUUCUGGUUCCCUCCACCCUACUUGGCCCUUUCUGGUACCACAUGCCAAAUGGAUAAGGAGAUGGCACAGCUACUGGCGGACAUGGUAGAAGCACUGAUAUUGUCUCAGACACGGGCAACUCUAUCUGUAUGGUGGAAAAGUCAUAUUAUGAGGACCUAGAAGGUAUAUCACCUUCUUUGGUCUGUAAUAAUUCAUUGGAUUAGCCUGAGAAUGAGAAAACCAUAUGAACAAGAAGCAGCCAUCAGAGAUGCAGGCAUCCACUCAAGCACAGGGCUAUUGAAUCAUCAUUUAGACUCCAAGCAGACGCCAGGGAAAACCCGGUUUCUAAUUAAUCUAAGAGUUGGCACUAUGAGGGAAAUUAAUGAAAAGAAUUCUGGUGUCCACAGACCAUCAGUAGAGCCAAAGUCUGAUCCCAGCUCCUGAGUCUUAGAAGGCCUCAUGCCUUGUUUUAUCCAGUGAAACUCGGCUCAGUUGUAGUUUAAGCCCCAGGACUGAAGGAGUCAUGCAAAGGAUUUGAGGCUUGGCACUAUGAGAAGAGCCUAUGAGAGGCUACUGGUGAAGCCUAGUUGCGGUGGAAGACCCCAGCUUAUUGGAGAUGCCAUAACCAUGGGAUGAUCAAUAAGAACAGCAGCCGCAGUGGAGUGAAUCAACCUGAGCUUAGAGUGCUACAGAGGGCAGAUCUAGAGAAGUGAUGCCAGCCCUUAGGAGUAGCCAAGAAGAUCAUGUGGAAUCUCAGACAUUGAAACAGGAAGCUGUAACAUGGAAAUUGCCUUGGAGACCCAAUGAUGUUAAAGAUGCCAGAGCCCUUGGAUACCUGCCGAGGAAAGCUGCUAACAGGGAGCAGGGCCAGCCCAGGAAAUGAAGUCUGCUGCACCUUGCUUGCCUAGAUUCCAUCAUGCUCCUACCUUGAUGAUAAUGGACAUGAAUCUCUGAACCUGUAAGGCAACCACAAAUAUAUGUUGUUAUUUAUAAGACUUGCCUUGGUCAUGGUGUUUACUGUUCACAGCUUUGGAGACAGGGUGCUGCCUGAGCUGCUUCUGGGCAGGGCUGUGCAACCUUGGAAGAGUGUGGCAUCCUUCGUGGAAGCAGACCCCGGAUGCUAAGCCUGAGUGUCUCUUCUGUCACCAUCUCCCUUUCCGUGAUACAUUGAGCCAGCCAACUCUUGCACCACAAUCUACUGUAAUAGUCACAGACCCAAAGCAACAGAGAAAAGUCACCAUGAACUACAGCUUCUGAAAUCAUGGGGCAGGAUAAACUUUAUCUCGGGGAACUUUAAUGUUAGGCCUAAGAAAUUGUGAGAGCAACAGGAAAAAUGGGGAAGACAGCCCCUGGCUAUGCUUAAUCUGGAAGACAGCGACGUCUCAUUCUCAAGUUCACAUUCAAAAGCUUGGGACUGGAGUUGUGAGAAGAAUUCUGCAAGCUGGGGGCCCUAAGGACUGCUAUACGCAAACCACCCAAACCAGUUCUGAUCAUUGGAAGUGAGUCUCCUGAUCAAGCCCCCCUCUUGGGGAUAGGAUUUGUCCAGAGCUUGAUGCCAAUAGGACUCAGAGCUGCAUCAUGCAAGGACUGACAACUUUUGAACCCCCUUUCUGUUUUCUGCAAGGCCAGUCCACAUAAUAUUUGAUAUUCAUUCCUUAGAAGGUCCAGUGAGUCUUAUAUGUCAGCAGUUGCUAAAUGUAUAGGUCUCCUAGGAAUGAAAGAACUCCUAGUACUGGUUGGAGCAUGGCUUUAUAACUGCAAAAAUGAACAACAACAGUCUAGAAGACUUGGAAACAGAGCACUUCAGGACACUUUGGACAAUAGGGAGUUCUUUUCAGGCUUCCUACUGCAAACCCCUUUAAAUGACUUCUGCUACAAGAAAGAGGGAAUCAAGGACAAAGUGUCCCUUAAUUUAACAAUAUGCAUUUACAGAGACUGUUCUUUAAUUUCCUCGGUUUCAAC